AUUGAACGCUGGCGGCAUGCCUUACACAUGCAAGUCGAACGGCAGCACGGGAGCAAUCCUGGUGGCGAGUGGCGAACGGGUGAGUAAUAUAUCGGAACGUGCCCAGUCGUGGGGGAUAACGUAGCGAAAGCUACGCUAAUACCGCAUACGAUCUAUGGAUGAAAGCGGGGGAUCGCAAGACCUCGCGCGAUUGGAGCGGCCGAUAUCAGAUUAGGUAGUUGGUGGGGUAAAAGCCUACCAAGCCUUCGAUCUGUAGCUGGUCUGAGAGGACGACCAGCCGACACUGGAACUGAGACACGGUCCAGACUCCUACGGGAGGCAGCAGUGGGAAUUUGGACAA
rnacentral:rRNA from 1 species